rnacentral:piRNA from 1 species
UCACACAGUGAAAAUGGCAUGCUUGCGAUU